AUCUGAGAGACCAUGUUACGCAAGGGAAUCGGCUGUUAACCGAAGGGUUGUAGGUUCGAGUCCUACCUGUGGAGCCA
rnacentral:tRNA from 1 species